GACGAAGGAUGCAAGCGUUAUCCGGAUUCAUUGGGUUUAAAGGGAGCGUAGGUGGCCUUAUAAGUCAGUGGUGAAAUCUCUGGGCUUAACCCAGAAAUUGCCAUUGAUACUGUAGGGCUUGAGUACAGUUGCUGUGGGCGGAAUAUGACAUGUAGUGGUGAAAUACAUAGAGAUGUCAUAGAACACCGAUUGCGAAGGCAGCUCACAAAACUGUAACUGACACUGAGGCUCGAAAAGUGCGGGGAUCAAACAGG
rnacentral:rRNA from 1 species